UAGGGAAUCUUCCGCAAUGGGCGAAAGCCUGACGGAGCAACGCCGCGGGAGUGAUAAAGUUCUUCGGAUCGUAAAACUCUGUUAUUAGGGAAAAACAAAUGUGUAAGUAACUAUGCCCGUCUUGACGGUCCCUAAUCAGAAAGCCACGGCUAACUACGUGCAAGCAGCCGCGGUAAUACGUAGGUGGCAAGCGUUAUCCGGAAUUAUUGGGCGUAAAGCGCGCGUAGGCGGUUUUUUAAGUCUGAUGUGAAAGCCCACGGCUCAACCGUGGAGGGUCAUUGGAAACUGGAAAACUUGAGUGCAGAAGAGGAAAGUGGAAUUCCAUGUGUAGCGGUGAAAUGCGCAGAGAUAUGGAGGAACACCAGUGGCGAAGGCGACUUUCUGGUCUGUAACUGACGCUGAUGUGCGAAAGCGUGGGGAUCAAACAGG
rnacentral:rRNA from 1 species